rnacentral:rRNA from 1 species
GAUUAACGCUGGCGGCGUGCAUAACACAUGCAAGUCGAACGAUGAAACUUUAAUGACCCCUUCGGGGAGAAUUAAAGCGGAUUAGUGGCGAACGGGUGAGUAACGCGUGAGUAACCUGCCUUACACAAGGGGAUAGCCUUUGGAAACGAAGAAUAAUACCCUAUAAAACCAUCAAAGCACAUGCAAUUAUGGUCAAAGUGAUAGCGGUGUAAGAUGGACUUGCGUCUGAUUAGCUAGUUGGUGAGAUAAAAGCCCACCAAGGCAACGAUCAGUAGCCGGCUUGAGAGAGUGUACGGCCACAUUGGGACUGAGACACGGCCCAGACUCCUACGGGAGGCAGCAGUGGGGAAUUUGGCACAAUGGGGGAAACCCUGAUGCAGCGACGCCGCGUGAUUUAGAAGGCCUUCGGGUUGUAAAAAUCUUUUGUAUAGGAAGAAAAUGACAGUACUAUACGAAUAAGGUCCGGCUAAUUACGUG